GCUAAGCCAUCAACAUUGAUAGUUAAACUACAACACUAUCCGCCAGAGAACUACAAGUGAAAAACUUAAAACUCAAAGGACUUGGCGGUGUCCCACAUCAAACUAGAGGAGCCUGUCCUAUAAUCGAUACCCCCCGUUCCACCCAACCUUAACUAGCACUAUCAGCCUAUAUACCGCCGUCGACAGCCUACCCCAUGAGGGUUCAACAGUAGGCAUAACAGUAGCUUAUUACUAAAACGUCAGGUCAAGGUGUAGCUUAUGUUAAGGAAGAGAUUGGCUACAUUUUUAAAACUUAAAAACACGGAGUGCACCAUGAAACACCGCACGAAGGUGAAUUUAGCAGUAAAUAAGACAAGAGAGUCUCAUUAAACCCUGCUCUGGGACGCGCACAC
rnacentral:rRNA from 1 species